AGCCCUCUCCUUCCCCCUCCCCCUCGCCAUCGCCCUCCCCGUCUCCCAAGCCCUCCCCCUCGCCAUCGCCUUCCCCGUCUCCCAAGCCCUCCCCCUCGCCGUCGCCGUCACCGUCGCCAUCGCCCAGCCCCACCACCUCCACCUGCAGCUCGAGUGACUGGGCGUGUGCGGCAUGUGCCAACACCUGGGUCCUGGACCAGAACGCCUGCCGCACCUGCGUCUCCACCUUGCGCGCCAAGGGCUUAGACGCCGGCAAGUGCAUCAACUCGUGUUCCGGCAUCGCCACCGCCGCCCUGCAGACCGUUUGCAUGGGCACCUGCGUCCCCAACUCCGCCGCGAAAGGUGCGUUUCCGUUUCCUUAUGGUCGCAUGCCACCCCAUAAAUCCUUUGCUGCCUUAUUAGCGGCUAUGUGCGCCAAGUGUCCAACGCCUCACACAAGUCGCAGCACCACCCGUGCAUGUGCUCCGCCUCGCACACGUGCCUUUCACGCCACGCCGCAUGUACACAUGCCGCAGGCGUUGACUGGGCCUGCAACCAGUACUGUGGCACGACGCUGCUGGUGGGCACGGACCCGGCUCGUUCGCAGCAGUGUGGCACCUGCAUCUUGGGCGUGUCCAACCCCUGGGACUGCUCCAACUGCAUCACGGUAGGUUGCUCCUAUCCCUUAGGCGCUGCGCGCACCGAGCGACAGCAGAGCGGGGCUGCGAGGUCACAAUAACUGAGGGCGCGGACCUUACAUUUCGGAGAAGUGGCUUUGCUGCGAGUGACCGAGUGGUAAGGUCCUGAACGUCUCCGUGCCUAAAUUGAUCUGCAACGUAACAGGUGACCAGCGGCCUGUCUGAUGCGGCUGCAGCCCGCACUUCCUGCAUGACCUGCCUCACCGCCACCACCAUUGGCGGCUACGCCUGUGGCGAAUGCAACAAGCUCGCCACUGCCAGCGCACGCAGCGCGUGCCAGGCGUGUGUGGCGGGCGGCAAGGGCGUAUGGGAGUGCACCCAGCCGAACGCCGGCCGCCGCCUGCUGCGCGCGUAGUCACCGAAAGCAAGCAACCGACCGUGUUGCCAUACGUCUUGUGCCGGCUUAUCGUUGCGCGUGGAACAAAUUGAUGGUGCCCCUUACAGUGUAUGCGGCAUGUACAGCAACGCAGUGACCUGUGCGCGUAUGCCUAGGCCACAUAAGCAAAAGAGAAAAUCCACCUAGCACUCAGCAGCAUGCCGCUGCUUUACUUCAAGCGCAGGGACUUCACCCUUGCUCUGGCUGAUAAGCUCUGUUGUGUGAGCGGCUGAUACAUACAUACAUCCCCGUCGUUUGCGUGGAUACACGCAUGAAGAGCCCAAGCAUGCCUCUCUGGUAUGCACGUUCCUGUGAUGCCGCUGGAAAUGCGGCGGAGCUUUGCACAUAUGGACUGACUGGAUCGUGUACAGAAACAGGACUGAGUAAGAGCGAAGACUGCAGGAUCAGGCAGGAUUUAAGCAUACCGCAUGCUGAAAGGCAUUGAAAGAUCAGUAGGUUGAGCUAGAUGGUGCCGUACUGGAUGCUGUGUGGUGGGACUGCCGGUCACUGCCGGCAGCAGGCAUGCCGCACAUGUGUGCAACGGGCUGCAAAAGUCCUGCAUCGUUGAUACUGGACAUUCAUUCACUGGUAGUCCGUUUGGCUGCAUAUUCGGGCGAAGGCACUGCGAUGCAGAGCGCUGUGUUUCAGCUGAACCGUGUGAAUAUUGUGACGGUAUCCAUGCCGCUUUGCAUAGGGCGUUGGAACUAUCACCUGCUAGCGUAGACAGCCAAGGCUGUAGGCAGGAUGGACGUUUGGACGUGGCCCCAUGGACUCAUUGAGGCUUUCCCUUCAUGUUGAUUUGGACGGCUAAGUGACCCUGCUGGUUGGCGUGUCCCUUCUUGUAACGUUGUGGUCUCAGGACAUGCACCCGCGACCCAAGGUCCCGUUCAUGUUCAGGCGACUGACAGGGGGAUGACCGCUUGCCAGGUAUUCACCGCACGCGUUCCAACCAAUGCGGCUUUGCGCAGGGUUACCGACGUGACUGCCAACCAAUUACGGUACGCUCUCCGAGCUUGAUGUCCGCACAUCCUUGACGCCUCGCACCGCCAUAAGCAGCCCUGACGAAGUCUGGCCAACUACCGCUAUCUGACUUCAGCAUCCACCGUACGUACGAGAUCCGCACAUGCUACCUGGUACCUGCCGACAUGAGUACGGCACCAGUCAGAACACAAAAUGGGGCAGCCCACAUGCAAACCAGUCAACCGCCAACUAACCACAAACACACCAGCUCAGCUCCAUUACACGCUCUCUGGUGACCAGUGCUGUAUGCGACAGCGCAAUAGUUUCUCGGCACCGUUAACCUCUCAUCACUGCGGCGCUCUACCAGCACCGGUACCCGCCGCAGCUGCUGUUAGGCCCUUGCCGCACGCGGCCUUGUGCCCCUCCUUCCAGUGCGCCACCUGCGACUCGCGGCAGCGGUAGGCCACCGCGCCGCCGCAGCCGCCACCGCACGCCUUGACCACCACCUCGGCCCCACUGCCUUGACCACCACCUCGGCCUCACUGCCUUGACCACCACCUCGGCCUCACUGCCUUGACCACCACCUCGGCCCCACUGCCUUGACCACCACCUCGGCCCCACUGCCGCCCUUCAGCUGCAUGCAUACAAGCGGGGUUGGAGCACCGCCGUGCCAGCCGCCGGCCGCCGGCCUCCGACAGCGGCAGCGCGACAAGCUGCCCCCACGAGCUGCCCCCCAGGCACAACACCCGCCCACGAGUGGCAAUGCCGCAGCAGCAGCACCAGCUGGCGCCACCACCGCGCCGCCGCGUGAGGGCACUCAAGGUCGCCAGCGCCCGACCUAUCGCCGGUGGGCCCCGCGCCGCCGCCGGUGUUGUCUGCAACGCUGCUGCGGGGCCGAGUCAGAUUGUGCUGAGUCAGCCGCAGGGCUCUUAGGCAUGAAUCCAUUGCCAAGCGCCGAUCAAGUAAGCGGACCGACGGGUGCGGACCCUUGCCGCUACUUGCCGCCGGACCUGCUCCUUGCCCGCCUCCGGCUGCUGUGGCUGCUCGUCCUGCUGCAUCCCAUCCAAGGCGCCGCGUACUGCUGUCGCAGUAGCUGCACAGCCGCUCCCACUCAGCCGUCAGCGCGGCCGCCGUGUCAGCUACACGCUGCCGUGCCGCAUCCGAGCCAGGUAGGAGGACGGCAACGGCGAUGCGGGCACUGUGGGCUAUGGAGUACACCGCGAGGACUUCCAUGCGCGUCUGAGUAGCCAGGGCCGCCGAGCGCGGGGGAGCAAUGGAGUGCCAAUGCGGCACAUCCUCCUGUUGCGCCGGGCCCGUAGAGGCCCGCCCCGGCCUACUUUUUUUGUGCUGCGCCCGCCCGUGUGCCGCCUGCCGCGCCACCUGCUGCGCCGCUUCCGCGCCACCUGCUCCACUGGCACCUCAGGCUCCGCACCAGAUCCCGCGACCCCACUCGCGGCACCCAGCCCCGCUGCUGGCGGCUCGGCGGUUCCGCCCGCACGCGGUCUCGACGCCAUCACGUAGCUUAGUUGCUCCGCCGACCAUGAGAGCACCGCCUCGCUCUGGUCUGCACCAGCCGCCAUGGGCAGUGCCGCCAGCGACUCCAUCGGCGCGCCGUAGCCGCUGCCGCCGUCCGCCGCACACAGCGCCGCCAGCAGGCCCAUUGUGGGCGCGGUGCAGCGCAGGGAGGGACCCGCCAGCAGCCGCUGCAAGUCCGCCGCGACAGCUGUCGACCUGGGCGACGGUGACACCGUCGCAUCUCGGGCUGACAGGUCACUUUGUUACAGCCUGACAGGAAGAGGCAGAGUCGGGCAAGGCAUGACUCCUUGAAGCUGGCUGAAGAGUGCACGCACGCAAUGCAUCGCACAGGGCGGUAGAGGGCCAAGUACGCGUGUGUGAGCCGGCUCCGCAACCAUGCUGUCACGUGCCCCGCCUCGUGGUACCCCGCCCUCCUCAAACACACACCACAUGUCUACGGUACGCAGCACCGGCGCUCGCGUAUCGUGUCCCUUCAUACCUCGCCGACAGCAACAGGCUUACGGUACCCUAGUAAGUUGGAUGCUGUAUGUCCGGGAAGCCAGCCUUUACCCACAGCGGCCCCUCCAAUACGGUCCAUACGCCAAAACACAAUCUAUCACAAGCCACCACGCAGUCCCCAACGUCCCAGCAUCACACCUGCAGUACCCGUCUACGCAGUCCUGCGCUUGAUAUGUCAGAUUGAUGAUGGGGCUGCCGAACACGAUGGGCUUGUCAGCAGGCAGCAGCGGCAGCGGCGGCAGCGCCACUCGCCCCAGCCGUUCCGUCAUAACGCUGUGUCAUGUACACCAGCGCGGCCAGUAGCUCGGUCUCGAACUCGCUGCGAGGUUAUGGAUGCAGGGACGUUCUUAUACAGCUGCGGCAACCCUGGUCGUGUAGGACAGCCGAGAACCUUGUCCGGGACAGCGCAAUCCCACCGGCCGCCCACACAUUACGGAUGCAGGGUCUUCGUACACGAAUUACAGGAAAGCUGAGGACCGGAAGGGACACCAAACACCAACGACCAAGGGACAGCGCGAGGCGAACCCGAAAUGACCUGGACCAUACGUCACAUCCACCACCGCACCUGAAGAUGUCCUCGAGAGACUUGCAGCCGGGCGACAGUGGCUUCCCCGCGACGCCCCCAGCCAUCAGCCGCGUGCUGACACUCUCCAAGAGCGUCAUGUGGCCGCUAGGGAGGCCGGCUGCGUUCUUCCAGCAGGUAAAUGCAUCCUGCAUGUCCAAUCAGUCACGCCUGCUGCUGCCGCCGCCUUGCCCGCGCCGGCUACUGCUGCUGCCGCUGCACGCUUGCUGCCUGCGUACCAUCUCGGCCUGCACCACCGCCUCAGCGUCAGCUAGCUGCCUCGCCAGGGCCUGGAACGUGCCCCCGCGAGCGCCACGCGCAGUGCGCAGGCCCUGGCGGCCUGGCCGCCGGCGACACAUCCAACUGACACACGUGGCGCCAGUAUCUGGCCAGGAAAUUGCAGCAUGCAAUACUGCAUGCCGCAAAAUAAUUGUUGUCAGUAUCGCGGGCCCUUAGGCACACUGAUAAGGCCCGCAGCACAGCGAGGAAAACCGGUGGGCAGCACCUCCUCCAUUAGCUCUAUCUUCUUGUGAGCAUCCAUGUUGUUUAAGCUCAUACAACAGAGACAGUAUGUCAUCACUGAGGGUGCCAACAUGGCCCUCGCGCGGAUUUCUCGCGGUCCGCAAUUUCUGGUAUGUUCUGAAGCAAUUUUGUAAGCACGUUCCCAGGUUCCUUUGGCAUGAUUCCGGCGGUGCCUUGUCCUGUUCAACAAACCCCUCCGGCAAGUGGAGACGGUUGCAAAAGCUCCCGCAAAUGCAAUGCCGAUAAGAGUUCGGCUGCACUGGUCGAGUAUGCUGGAUAAAUGGAGUUGCCCAUGGAACGGCUAUCCCCAGAGUCAUGCUAGUCGUGCAGUCCCCACCAUCCCCACCAUGUGAGAACUUGUUAUAGCUACGUGCGGCCGCUGACGUUGUCGCACACGGACCUGUUGAUUGCUCGCAGCCACAAUAGGAAUCAGGGUCACAGGUAUAGAGGCCGGGGCUAGCAGAUGGAAACGGGUGGGUAACACAGGACUGGCAUAGCGGGGAAUCGUAACGAUGGUUAGGGCACUCAAGCGCUUAUGAUGUUUUUCAUGCAGAUUCCAUGACCGUCUACAAGCUUAACCUUCAGAACUCUCUGGCGCGGCAGCGGGUGCGCGAGAUGGAGGUAUGGGUAACGUUGGGUGCGCGGGGCGGGGUGGCUGGCCGGCACACUCAGGGCGGCCAAUGGUGGACAUCGCGACCAGGCUCAAGCAGCAGGUGGCUGCAGAAUGACGAUACCUUAUUGCAUAUAGAUUUUAUGUGCCGGGAAGACCACACAGUGGCGUUGCAUCAAAUAUAUAACUUCAAUACUACGUGCUUCGACCAAGGUCCAAGGCACUGCGAAUGGCGCGCGCUAUGCUUAUAGUGAUUACAUGAUAUUUUCUAGCGCGUUGGUGUUACGUCGUGACGCGGAGACACUAACGCGUCGACUGACUACUAAUACACUAUGGUGGCGGUGCAGCUGCUUGCCUCGCUGGCGCUUCUUGUAAUAACGCUGCCAAGCGAAAUUGACGCCCAAAUGUCGCACAAUUAUGCGAGUGUGUUGGGACUGAGCUAUAGGUAGGGCGCAGGUUCGACACGCUCGCUGGGGUUACUGGAGUCAGGCCCCCCCCCCCGCACCCGCCGCAUUGGACCCCUGGUGCCCGACACCUGUCUGCAGACGCCUGCAGUACGAACCAGGGGCAUAUGAGUAGAAAGUGUUGUUAAGUACAUGACGAUAAGAGGGCUAAGCACUACCCUUAAUAUUGCGCAUUGCAACCGAAAAUGCACGACACACUGCCGUCAUCCUUGACUUCCCUAUCCACAACAUGAACAGGUUCUAUGAGGCUCAGAUGUCUGGCAACGUGCCUUCCUGGUCGCGUGCCUCCCAGGCGGCCGGCGGCUGGCGCAACAAGAGCCACGCCCUCGAUGGCACUGGCCCGGGCGGAGUGAACCUGGACCUGUCAGGCGGCUGGUAUGACGCGGGAGGUACGCGCAAAGCAGCUCAAAUGUCGGCAUUGAAAGCAAGCGCGGUGAUGUUGGGAUGCUGCUGGCAUCGCUGACGACGUAUUUGUCGUCCCCCGGUUUUGCCCCCGCCCAACGCUUUGCGCCUGCUGCCUCACGCCCCGGAGAACCUACCCCUGCCCACGCCUGCCGCUUAGGCGCACACCAAAUGCGCCCCCGGCCCGCUCACACCCACGCCUACAACCCCCACAGAUCACCUGAAGCUGCACCUGCCUCUGGGCGUGUCGGUGAGCCUUCUGUCGUACGGCGCCCUCACCUUCGAGGCCGCCUACCGCGCCGCGGGCCAGUGGGACAUCGCCGUGCGCAACCUGGACUGGGCGGCCUCCUACAUCGCCAAAUGCCACACACAGGCCAGCGACACACCCGCCGACAACAAGUUCGUGGCCCAGGUGCGUGUGAGCGUGCGUGCGUGGUUAGGGCUGUGGGUGGGUGUGCAGGGAAGCUGCCUGCUGGCAGGGCGCGUGGUCGCUCAUCCACAUCAGCACGGAUUGCACGCUCUUGCACGAGGGAACGCACCUUGCCUUCGGUUGAUUGGCUGCCGCGCGUUGCAACCCAGCAGGGUCCGUCGACGGUGGACUGCCAACGAGGUAUCCAGUUUCUCGUCGCAUGGCUUACACUUCCCAUUUCGCCGCCCCCCAGAUUGGCGAUGUGGCCACGGACCACAACACCUGGUGGGGCCGGCCGGAGCAGCAGCCCGAGGGCGGCGCCCAGGGCUCUGCGGGCUAUCGACCCGUGUACGUCAUCACGUCAAGCAGCGGCAAGGGCGCUGACAUUGUGGCAGAGGUGGGUGACACGCAGGCGCGCAUACGGUACUGGACGUCAGCUUGGUACCCUCCGCGCCCAGAUGAGCAAACGAACCGUACGUUGCAGCACCUUGCCACGUCGUGAAUCGACCGGGACCGUUCUGCUGAUCCAUAACACAGGCGGCGGCGUCGCUGGCCAGCGUGUCGCUGCUCCUCAAGCGCCCUGGCACCUACUCCAACACCACCAAGGCCGCGGCAUUCCUCGCGCGCGCCAAGCAGCUCUUCGAGUUCGCCAAGACCCUGACCGGCGGAACGUACGUGAGCCGGUGUAACAGCAUGCUGUGUGCGCGCGUCUCUUGGACUGGGCGUGCAGAGAAUGGGAGGCCGCCUCCACUCCUGCCCUGCUGCUGCCCUCCCAACUUCAGUCACACCGACCGGCGGCUUGUUCACACGAGUGUGGCUGAACCCAACAUGCGCAGGUGGGCGCCGCCUGAUAACAACGGCGCGUACGGCAGCUCCAGCUGGAAUGACGACAUGGCCUGGGCGGCGGCGUGGCUGUGCAGGUGCGGUGCGGUGUGCGCCGUACGUGUACGGCGUGUGGGGCAUAUGCAGCGUGUACCGUGGCUUUGGGGCGUGUGGGUAUGAUGAGCGAAAGUGUGCAUGAUGGCUUGGCAUACGUGGUAUCACAUAAGCGGUUGCAUCAUGCAUGCCACUUGCACAUGGACUCGAGUCUUGAGCUAGCUGGUGGCACUCAGGACCCAACACUCACUCGGUACUACUGCAUGCGUGAGCGCAGGGCAAGCGUGGAUGAAGGCGUGACGCCGACCAACAGCGCCGCCUGCGCCGCCGCCCUUGCGUACUGGAAGCCGUUUGUGGGCAACGCAUGGGAGGUGCAGGUGGGCGGAGGUGCAGGAUGUGCAACCGUACGCGGAUUAAAAAUCUGCUUGCAGCACAGCGCGCGGUCCUAAUUGAUAUACCGAUGUUGCUGCUAACCGACCGCCCAUCACCGCUGCCCGCGUGCCGUCCACAUAGACACACGCACGCCUGCCCACACGCCACGCCGCCCUCGCAGGACGUGAACUGGGACCGCAUGGCCGGUAUGGCGGCGGUGCUCCUCCGCGACGUGGGCGCCGGCACCGCCACCGACGUCGCCACAUACAACACCGCCAUCAACGCUGUGCUGAGCCGGUUAGUACGGAGAUUGUGCCAGGGGCAGACGUACCGACAUUUGGCACUGGGUUGUGAAUUAUGGGUUUGGGGUGCUGCGGAUGUGUUGCCUCAAACCUUCAACCUAUAGGACCUUGAACCGCCGCAACCCCUCAAGUGCCGUGCGCGUGAUUGCUUGCAGGUGGAUGGAGCCCGGCACACGCACGUGCAGCAGCGGCGCCGCGCCGCCCUGCUACACCUCGGGCGGCUUGGUUUGGGGCAGCGAGUGGGGCAGCUGUCGGCACACGGGUGAGUGGGAGGGAAUGGCAGGAAAGUGGGAGGGAAUGGCGGGUGAGUGGGAGGGUAUGGCGGGCGGGUUGCUUGGAGGCCGGAAUCAAGGUUGGGAACGGAGUGCGUGACGCCGCCCUGUAAGGUAAAAGACUGAACACAGAACUUCAUAAUCCCGGUUCGCCCGCGUGCUAACAUGCCGAGCGAACAUGCGUUUGUGACGUGGUGUAUUUGGUCGGCCGCGUCUUCGUCACCUUUGUGGUGCUGUGUACGCACGCGUGUGCAGCCAAUGCGGCACUGGUGGCGCUGGCGGCGGCGCGCGGUGACGCCGGCGCGGGUCUGGAGGUUGCCUACAGCACGCGUGUGAAUCGCAACUGCUGGGCACGAAGCCAGGUCGACUACAUGCUCGGCAGCAACCCGCAGAGCCAGUCGUACGUGGUCGGAUACAAGUGAGUAGGCGUACGGUGUUGUCGGCGUGGCAUGCCGCAUCGCAUAAUGGGUGGCAAUGUGGCAAUGCACGGAACGAUGCGAUGCCGACCCUGCGCCGUACCGAUCCUGUCCAUGCCCUGCCAACACGCCGCAGGCCCACGACCUCCCACAAAGCUCCCGAGAAGCCGCACCACCGCAGCAGCAGCUGCGCCACCAACUACGCCACCCCGUGUGACUGGAACGCGCUGGACGCGCCUGGACCCAACCCGAGUGUGCUCCUGGUGAGGUUGCCGUGUGUGGGGGGAGAGGGGGUUGGAUACGUAUACCGUGGCCUAUGCUUUGACAACGGAGUGGCACUCGACAGGGGCGCUCAACACCUCCGCCCCCCCCCCCCGCAUGCAGUACUGUAUGGUACGCAUGACAAUCUUUGGCAGCUCAGGUGCCAGCAAAACUUUCACAGCAACAAACGUAAUGACUCAGGUGCUUGCUGGGAGCGCCCACCGGCUACCAAGCCGUACUUUGUUGCUCAACAGCUGACAGCCGCCACACUCGUCGUAGUUCGUACCGUACACACACACACACACACACACACACACACACACACACACACACACACACACACACACACACACACACACACACACACACACACACACACACACCAGGGCGCGCUGGUGGGCGGUCCGGACCGCUACGACGCCUACACCGACAACCGGCGCGACUACGUCAAGAACGAGGUGGCACUGGACUUCAACGCAGGCUACACGGGAGCGCUGGCGGUGAGCAGGGCUAGCUGUGGGCCGGGCCAGAGAACUGCUGAGGCUGAGCACAUGCGUGCUGUUGCUGGUGGCGGCGGGCUGCUAGGGUGGCGCAGAUGGAGCGGUUGCUGCUGCACUUGCUAUCGCUGCUGCUGCACCCGCUUGCUGCUCGAGGCCUGAACUGCCCGCUCCACUGCAUGUGGUGCGUGUGGCGCCAACAGGGCCUGGCGGCUGUUGACGCCGCAAUCAAGGCCGCGGGAUGCACAUGGACCUCCUACUGCGCCCUCACCUGCACCGUGAGCGGCAACACAGCUGGCCCCUUGCCGGCCGGGCCCUCUCCCUCGUCGUCGCCCUCUCCCUCGCCUUCGCCCUCUCCCUCGCCUGUGCCUUCUCCCUCGCCUUCGCCUUCUCCCUCACCUUCACCGUCUCCCUCACCUUCACCGUCGCCGUCACCUUCACCCUCUCCCUCGUCUUCACCAUCCCCCAAGCGCUCCCCCAAGCCUUCACCCAAGCGCUCUCCCAAGCCCUCACCUAAGCGCUCUCCCAAGCCGUCUUCCAAGCCCUCUCCUCCUUUCUCCAAGCCCUCUCCCUCCCCUUCCCCGAAGCCCUCUCCUUUCCCCUCCUCCUCGCCAUCGCCCUCCCCGUCUCCCAAGCCCUCCCCCUCGCCGUCGCCGUCGCCGUCGCCCAGCCCCACCACCUCAACCUGCAGCUCGAGUGACUGGGCGUGUGCGGCAUGUGCCAACACCUGGGUUCUGGACCAGAACGCCUGCCGCACUUGCGUCUCCACCUUGCGCGCCAAGGGCUUAGACGCCGGCAAGUGCACCAACUCGUGCUCUGGCAUCGCCACCGCCGCCCUGCAGACCGUUUGCAUGGGCACCUGCGUCCC
rnacentral:lncRNA from 1 species